rnacentral:rRNA from 1 species
CCAGACUCCUACGGGAGGCAGCAGUGAGGAAUAUUGGUCAAUGGGCGAGAGCCUGAACCAGCCAAGUCGCGUGAGGGAAGACGGUCCUAUGGAUUGUAAACCUCUUUUGCCGGGGAGCAAAAAGCGGUACGUGUACCGCAUCGAGAGUACCCGGAGAAAAAGCAUCGGCUAACUCCGUGCCAGCAGCCGCGGUAAUACGGAGGGCGCGAGCGUUAAUCGGAAUUACUGGGCGUAAAGCGCGCGUAGGCUGUUGUGUAAGUUGGGGGUGAAAUCCCACGGCUCAACCGUGGAACAGCCCUUGAUACUGCGCGACUUGAAUCCGGGAGAGGGUGGCGGAAUUCCAGGUGUAGGAGUGAAAUCCGUAGAUAUCUGGAGGAACAUCAGUGGCGAAGGCGGCCACCUGGACCGGUAUUGACGCUGAGGCGCGAAAGCGUGGGGAGCAAACAGGAUUAGAUACCCCAGUA